AUGACAGGAAAUGUUCAUUACGAAGCCAAAGCCUUUGAUAUCAUUGAGCUCACUAGUCUGCCCACUCCUGGAGAUCUCUAUGAACCUGGAUGUCAACUUCACAGUGAAGCUAUGGAGAGCAUCUUUCAGAAGCCUGAACCGAACAUGAGUCAGAUGCUCAGUAUGAUGAAGCCUUUGCCACAAGAUGCUGCAUAUCCUAAGGAGUUCUUUGCUGAAGACCUUGAGUAUCUGCCAAGGACUAUCUAUCACAUUAUAAGGCGAACUCUCUGGCCCAUCAAAGGACAUUCUCCACAUGCAAAGCUGGAAGGUGCAAUGAAGACUUUGGUCUUCUAUAUUCUUCAUGGCAAAUGCUUCAAUGCACAAGAC
rnacentral:rRNA from 1 species